rnacentral:rRNA from 1 species
ACGGGGUGCAGCAGGCGCGAAAUCUUCACAAUGUGCGAAAGCACGAUGAGGGAAUCCCAAGUGCUGGCACGUAAGUGUCAGCUGUUUCUUAGUCUAAAAAACUCAGAGAGUAAGGGCUGGGUAAGACGGGUGCCAGCCGCCGCGGUAAUACCUGCAGCUCGAGUGGUGAUCGUUAUUAUUGGGCCUAAAACGUCCGUAGCCGGUUUAGUAAAUGCCUGGGUAAAUCGUGCCGCUUAACGGUACGAAUUCCGGGUAGACUGCUAAACUUGGGACCGGGAGAGGCUAGAGGUACUCCUGGGGUAGAGGUGAAAUUCUGUAAUCCUAGGGGGACCACCAGUGGCGAAGGCGUCUAGCUAGAACGGGUCUGACGGUGAGGGACGAAGCCCUGGGGCGCAAACCGGAUUAGAUACCCGGGUAGUCCAGGGUGUAAACGCUGCUUGCUUGAUGUUAGUCGGGCUCCGAGCCCGAUUAGUGUCGGAGAGAAGUUGUUAAGCAAGCUGCCUGGAAGUACGUCGCAAGAC